ACCUAGCCCUGAUUGCAGCGGCAUCCUUUUUACCGGUUGCUGAGUGAUUUGCUGGCGGCAAAUUAUAUCGAAGCACCGAGAAAAAGAUAUAGCGGAAAGCAGGUAUCAGC
rnacentral:sRNA from 2 species